GUAUAACCCGCGCUACUACCAAGUACUAGCAGUAGCCCGUGAUGUACACCCCGCGCUACUACUUUGGGUAGACCGGGUCAGCCGGUGGGCAAUCCUCCACCCCAUGCUACCACUAUCACACAAGUCUUCCCGUAUCCCCAUCCCACGCAAAAACAAUCCCCAUCCCGAUCCCACGCUGGUGCGGCGCCUCCAUCCCAAUCCCCAUCCCGAUCUCCUUCCCCACCUCCACCUCUAGACGACCCCGACGGCCAGAUCACGCCGGAGCCUGCGGUCCUCCUCCACCUUCAACUCCUCUCCUCUCCGGUUGCGCCGCCACCCUGUUCGUGGUCGAGCCGCGGCGAGCAGCAGAGGACCGCCGCUGGCUCGUCCACAACCAAUCGGCGAGCAGCAGAGCAGAGGACCCCAUAGCUGCCUACCGUGCCAAGCUCCCUCCCUCCUCGUGAACGAAGCCCUACCCCACGGCCAUGGCUAGGUUUGUGCAGUUUUUGCCCAUCUCAUCUGGUGAGUUCCCUUUCAUCCAAGAAGAAGCUCCUGCAGAUCCUUCUACCUCCGGUCUCCCUCUGACCUAAGUGUUUUUGGUUUUGUGGCCGACGUGUCCAGUGUGCAGGUCCCUUCUCUGAGAGGGUGCUGCUCACGCUGGAGGAGAAGGAGGUGCNNN
rnacentral:lncRNA from 1 species